UACGUAGGGUCCGAGCGUUGUCCGGAAUUAUUGGGCGUAAAGGGCUCGUAGGCGGUUCGUCACGUCGGGAGUGAAAACUCGGGGCUUAACCCCGAGCCUGCUUCCGAUACGGGCAGACUAGAGGUAGGCAGGGGAGAGCGGAACUCCUGGUGUAGCGGUGGAAUGCGCAGAUAUCAGGAAGAACACCCGUGGCGAAGGCGGUUCUCUGGGACGGUACUGACGCUGAGACGCGAAAGCGUGGGGAGCGAACAGG
rnacentral:rRNA from 1 species